GCAGGCUGUGUGAUAGCGUGACUUCGGUCAUGAGGAAAGUCCGAGCACCGCAGGGCAGAAUAGCUGCUAACGGCAGCCGGGGGCGACCCUAGAGCCAGUGCAACAGAGAGAUACCGCCGCAGCAAUGCGGUAAGGGUGGAAAGGUGCGGUAAGAGCGCACCAGAGUAUAGGAGACUAUACUGCUAUGUAAACCUUAUUCGGUGCAACGCCUAUUGGUACGUUUUGUCUUAACAUCGGCCCGGUGGACAAUGACGUAAUGGCGGCUGGAGCUGUGAGGCGACUUGCAGACGAGAUAAAUUAUCGCACACGACAGAACUCGGCUUAUAGGUCUGGUC
rnacentral:RNase_P_RNA from 1 species